rnacentral:rRNA from 1 species
AGAGUUUGAUCAUGGCUCAGGACGAACGCUGGCGGCGUGCCUAAUACAUGCAAGUCGAGCGAGCUUGCCUAGAUGAUUUUGGUGCUUGCACUAAAUGAAACUAGAUACAAGCGAGCGGCGGACGGGUGAGUAACACGUGGGUAACCUGCCCAAGAGACUGGGAUAACACCUGGAAACAGAUGCUAAUACCGGAUAACAACACUAGACGCAUGUCUAGAGUUUGAAAGAUGGUUCUGCUAUCACUCUUGGAUGGACCUGCGGUGCAUUAGCUAGUUGGUAAGGUAACGGCUUACCAAGGCAAUGAUGCAUAGCCGAGUUGAGAGAUUGAUCGGCCACAUUGGGACUGAGACACGGCCCAAACUCCUACGGGAGGCAGCAGUAGGGAAUCUUCCACAAUGGACGAAAGUCUGAUGGAGCUAACGCCGCGUGAGUGGAGAAGGGUUUCGGCUCGUAAAGCUCUGUUGGUAGUGAAGAAAGAUAGAGGUAGUAACUGGCCUUUAUUUGACGGUAAUUACUUAGAAAGUCACGGCUAACUACGUGCCAGCAGCCGCGGUAAUACGUAGGUGGCAAGCGUUGUCCGGAUUUAUUGGGCGUAAAGCGAGUGCAGGCGGUUCAAUAAGUCUGAUGCGAAAGCCUUCGGCUCAACCGGAGAAUUGCAUCAGAAACUGUUGAACUUGAGUGCAGAAGAGGAGAGUGGAACUCCAUGUGUAGCGGUGGAAUGCGUAGAUAUAUGGAAGAACACCAGUGGCGAAGGCGGCUCUCUGGUCUGCAACUGACGCUGAGGCUCGAAAGCAUGGGUAGCGAACAGGAUUAGAUACCCUGGUAGUCCAUGCCGUAAACGAUGAGUGCUAAGUGUUGGGAGGUUUCCGCCUCUCAGUGCUGCAGCU